GAGCCCGUAGCUCAAUAGUUAGAGCGUUUGACUUCUGAUCAAAGGAUCACAGGUUCG
rnacentral:tRNA from 1 species